rnacentral:rRNA from 1 species
UACGGAGGGGGCUAGCGUUGUUCGGAAUUACUGGGCGUAAAGCGCACGUAGGCGGCUUUGUAAGUUAGAGGUGAAAGCCCAGGGCUUAACCCUGGAAUUGCCUUUAAGACUGCAUCGCUCGAAUUGUGGAGAGGUGAGUGGAAUUCCGAGUGUAGAGGUGAAAUUCGUAGAUAUUCGGAAGAACACCAGUGGCGGAAGGCGGCAAUCUGGACGGUAACUGACGCGUGAGACGCGAAAGCGUGGGGAGCGAACGAGG